GAUGAACGCUGGCGGCGUGCCUAAUACAUGCAAGUCGAGCGAACGGACGAGAAGCUUGCUUCUCUGAUGUUAGCGGCGGACGGGUGAGUAACACGUGGAUAACCUACCUAUAAGACUGGGAUAACUUCGGGAAACCGUAGCUAAUACCGGAUAAUAUUUUGAACCGCAUGGUUAAAAAGUGAAAGACGGUCUUGCUGUCACUUAUAGAUGGAUCCGCGCUGCAUUAGCUAGUUGGUAAGGUAACGGCUUACCAAGGCAACGAUGCAUAGCCGACCUGAGAGGUUACCCGCCCACACUGAACCUGAGACACGGUCCAAACUCCAACGGGAGGCAGCAGUAGGAAUUCUUCCGCAAUGGGCGAAGGCCUGACGGAGCAACGCCGCGUGAGUGAGAAGGGUCUUCGGUUCGUAAACUCUGUUAUUAGGGAAGAACAUAUGUGUAAGUAACUGUGCACAUCUUGACGGUACCUAAUCAGAAAGCCACGGCUAACUACGUG
rnacentral:rRNA from 1 species